rnacentral:lncRNA from 1 species
UCUCUCUCCAACCCCAGCCCUAUGCCUCUCUGCUAUUUGGGGCAUGCUGUGUGUUAGUCCUCCUGCCUUUCUCAAUGCCAUGUACCACAAUCCCACCCUUCUGCCCACUAGGGGCAGCUUUCCUCUGGAUACAGUGUCUGGUGGGCACUGCAGAGCUGUGUGGGUCUUGCCCCUUGCAGGCUGACACACUGUGGCUUCCUGGCCAAGCACACAGAGACGCUCUGUGAGGCACUGAGAGCCAGCUGCCAGACCCACAACCUGGAUCAUCUUGACCUAUCAGACAACUCUUUGGGGGGCAAAGGAGUGAUCCUGCUAACCGAGCUGCUCCCAGGACUGGGUCCCCUGAAGUCCUUGAAGUAAGCAACUAACCACCCCCCAAGGCCUCUGGGUUCCCACCAGUGAGAGGGGUUGUUCGGGUCUUCUUCUGGAUACAGUAAAGAUGUAACCAGAAAGUGCGUAUGAGCCCUCUUCCCACAGCAACACACAGGCAAGUGUUCAACAAGGCCUCCCCCUGGCUUGACUAAACACUGACUUACUUCAAAGAACUCAGGGCCCCGCCGUUUGCUUCAGGCCUUCUCCAAGCAGCUCCUUUGUGUCUCCUUGGAGAAGAGAUAGCUUUCCUCCCGCUCCUGUUAAGGAGUCUCCUCCCAUUUUUAAUUUACCCUGAGUCCCGCCAUUCCCUUAUCAGGCGGCAAAAUAGAGUUCAGAGGGCGCUCUGGGCUCCAGUUGUCACCUUGAGCAAGUUCC